UCAAUAAGCGGAGGAAAAGAAACCAACAGGGAUUGCCCCAGUAACGGCGAGUGAAGCGCAACAGCUCAAAUUUGAAAUCUGGCUACAUUCAGUGGUCCGAGUUGUAAUUUGUAGAGGAUGGUUUUGGCGCGGCGCCGUCCGAGUUCCUUGGAACAGGACGCCACAGAGGGUGAGAGCCCCGUACGGACGGACGCCUAGCCUCUACAAAGCUCCUUCGACGAGUCGAGUAGUUUGGGAAUGCUGCUCUAAAUGGGAGGUAAAUUUCUUCUAAAGCUAAAUACGCAGAGACGAUAGCGCACAAGUAGAGUGAUCGAAAGAUGAAAAGCACUUUGAAAAGAGGGUUAAAGCUACGUGAAAUUGUUGAAAGGGAAGCGCCUGUGACCAGACUUGCGCCCCCGUGGACCACCGCGUUCUCGCCGGUGCACUCCGCGGGCGCAGGCCAGCAUCGGUUCUCCUAGGGGGACAAAGACCGCGGGAACGUAGCUCUUCGGGAGUGUUAUAGCCCGCGGUGGCAUGCCCCUGGGGGGACCGAGGACCGCGCUUCCGGAAGGAUGCUGCGUAAUGGUCACAGGACGCCCGUCUUGAAACACGGACCAAGGAGUUCAACACUUGGGCGAGUGUAUGGGUGCCAAACGCCAGCGCGCAAAUGAAAGUAAAUCGCAGGUGAGAGCUUCGGCGCAUCAUCGACCGAUCCUGAUGUCUUCGGAUGGAUUUGAGUAAGAGCCUUACCGCUUGGACCCGAAAGAUGGUGAACUAUGCCUGAAUAGGGUGAAGCCAGAGGAAACUCUGGUGGAGGCUCGCAGCGGUUCUGACGUGCAAAUCGAUCGUCAAAUUUGGGCAUGGGGGCGAAAGACUAAUCGAACCUUCUAGUAGCUGGUUACCGCCGAAGUUUCCCUCAGGAUAGCAGUGUUGUUUUCAGUUUUUGAGGUAAAGCGAAUGAUUAGGGACUCGGGGGCGCCUAUUAGCCUUCAUCCAUUCUCAAACUUUAAAUAUGUAAGAAGCCCUUGUUGCUUAAUUGAACGUGGGCAUUCGAAUGCAACAACACUAGUGGGCCAUUUUUGGUAAGCAGAACUGG
rnacentral:rRNA from 1 species